GGAAAAUCCCAACGUUUGGGCGGAAGAGGCCUCCCGGGGGGGCGUGCCUACGCAGCCGCGGUGCAAUCGCCGGUGCUCACGUGCUGGAGAUGGCGGCUGACCCUCUUCCUCCGUCCGCAAUGGUUCAGCCGGGGACUCUGAACCUCAAUAACGAGGUUGUAAAGAUGAGAAAAGAAGUGAAGCGAAUCCGAGUUCUGGUCAUCCGAAAACUUGUCAGGAGUGUCGGCAGACUGAAGUCCAAAAAGGGCACAGAAGAUGCACUGUUGAAAAACCAAAGGCGAGCCCAAAGGUUGCUUGAGGAGAUCCAUGCCAUGAAGGAAUUGAAACCUGAUGUUGUAACUAAAUCUGCUCUUAGUGAUGAUAUCAACUUUGAAAAAACUUGCAAAAAGCCGGAUUCUACCGCGACCGACAGAGCGGUUGCCAGAUUAGCAGGUCACCCGCUUCUGAAGAAGAAAAUUGAUGUGCUAAAAGGUCUGGCUCAAAUGAUGCUGUCCAGGCCUUCAAAGAUGCAAGGCAGAGUGCUCCAGCGGCCGAAUCAUCUGAGAGUACUUCAGGAGAAGGCCGGUGUAAGGACAUUGCAAGGUCAAAGGAUGAUGCACGUGAGUCACAGCAUCCUGAGAGAACUGUUGUCAGGGAGCAGAAGGCAAAGGACACCAACACGGCAGCAAAGAAUGCAGCAAGUGGUUCAAAAGAAAAACUGGCCAAGACAGAGCAGGCACCCAGAGCAGGGACCACUCCAGGGUCUCAGGGGAGGCCUUCAGGAAAGGGUGCUGGGGUUAACUCUGAACACCAGGGGGCCCCAGCCCCAGGGGACAGCAACCAGGGGAAAGCCUCAACCAAAACCCCGGAGGACAGCGUGUGUGAACCUGCUAAUAACGGUGUCAGUGAGGAAGAGGAGAGCGAGGGGGAAAAGGAGUAUUUUGAUGACAGCACUGAAGAACGGUUCUACAAACAGUCUUCUGCAUCUGAGGACAGCGACAGUGGUGACGACUUCUUCAUUGGAAAAGUCAGACGGACUCGAAAGAAGGAAUCUGGUGUCCAUUCCUCGGCCAAGGAACUGAAGCCCCUCCCAAAGGUACCAUCUAAAACAAGUACACUUGAAACCCCCUGGGAUGUAAGAAACGAUAAACACAGGCCAAUUCCAGAAGCCAGGAAGUUCGAAUCCGUGUUUUUCCACUCGUUGGCUGGACCUAAAAGCUCCAGAAGGGAUCCCAGAGAACAGGCCCCAAAGAAUAAAGCCCCAGAUUUUCCAGAAAAUGAACCCCCAGUCAAGAAGCAGUUUACAAAGAGUGCAUACAGAGGCUUUGAGAGUGUGAAGCAGACGAUGCAGGCACCUCUGCAUCCGUCCUGGGAAGCGAGCAGGAGGCGGAAGGAGCAGCAGUCCAAAAUCGCUGUGUUUCAGGGGAAAAAAAUUACAUUUGAUGAUUGAUUUGAUACUUGCUGCCUCUUUGCAAGCGUUCUGUCAAAAUUUUUGGUUUUGUUUUUAACUAACAUGUUAUUUAAACUUGCAUUUUAAAUAAGUCUCUUUCAAAGAGUUAUAAAAUAUAUUGCUUGUUUUUCUUUUUUUAUGUGAAUUUAGGGAAUAUUUACAUAAUCUUUUCACAGAUCUCUAAAUUUAUUUCAUAAGAAUGCUUGCCCCAAAUUAUUUCUUACAUAAAGUAAUUUAGAUAUUACGGAAUUUUAGGUUUUCUCAUUCAUGAUUACAAAAUAUAUUUCGCUAGUUAAGCUUUCCCUUUUGCCUUCAAAAUAAGGCAAACAGGGCUUAGGAGAUGGCUCACUUCCUGGGGCCCGAUGGCCUGAGUUUGACCCCUGUGAUUCCCUUGGUAUGAGGGCAGAACUAAUUCACAAAGUCGUUCUCUGAUUGCACAUACACUGUGGCACAUGCCUAUGUACAUACAAAUAUGUUCACAUAUAAUAAAUGUCAUAUAAAAAAUGUUAGGACAUAUUUAAAAUAAUAGUGAGAAAAGAAAGAAAUUAGGACUAAAAAAUAUUUUUAUAAGCAAAACAGAAAUGGCAAUUUUCAUUGUGGAUAUAGAAAUAGUAUAUAAAUAAAUAUUAAUUUGUGAUAGUUGCAGUUACUUGUGACUUAUCUUUGCAGUGUUUGAGCAACUUGCUUAUGUGUAGCAACACCUAAAAGUUAAGUUCUAAGUACCCCUGCAAUGAGUAUUUCCAUUCAUUGAAGAAUGGAUCAAUAGAGCCCUAGUUUUUCUGUCCAUGGACCAAGUCCAGGAUAUAGUGUUCAUGGUACAGAAAAGUUAUGCAUGGUGUCUAGUCACUUAGGCAAAUAUUGGAGUACAACACUGGGAAUUGAACCUAGGGCCUCAUGCAUUCUAGGUCUUAUACAUGCUCUACCACUGAGGACCUUGCUGUGUGGCUCAAACAGGGCUGGGUUUUUACUCUCACAGUACCAAGAUGCAGGCAUUUUAACUUGUGUUGAAAUGUAGAAGAGGAGGGAUUGAAGUGGCUAAAUAGGAGUUCUUGGACUCCUAAAGAACCAUGUACUCCAUACAGUAAAGGAAAAGAGGUUUGUAAAAGAUGCUUGCCUGUUUCAUACAGUGCAGUGACUUGUGUUCAAAGGAAAAGAAAGAGGUUUGUAAAAGAUCCUCGCCUGUUUCAUACAGUACAGUGACCUUAAAGGAAAAGAGAGAGGUUUGUAAAAGAUCCUUGCCUGUUUGCCUUUUAUUGCUGUGGAAGACAAGAAAGAUGGUUAGUUAAUUAAACAGUGCUAACUGAA